UAUAUAUUCAGAUAAUAUUAAUAACGAAUUUGUAAGAACCGAUGGUAUUAAAACACUAAUUUUACGCAAAUGUGAUAUUUAUAGUUUUAUUCAUUUGGGACGGAACCGCAAAUACCGGUAAUGUAUUUUAUAAAAAACGCGAAUAUAAUAUUAAUUUUUCUAAUAAACAAAAAUUACAAGUAGUAUAUCGACACUUCGGCCACCCGUUAAUGGAACGGUUAUAGAAAAGCUUACAAAAUAUAAAUUAUAAAAUAAAACGGGAUAUACUGGAAUUAAUAAACCGACUUUACUAUUAUUAUUGAAUAAAAAAACGCGGCAUAACGUUUUAAUUUAUUUUAAAAAACGAUAUAACCCCCUCUUUAAGGAAGCCCAUAUUAUACAGCCCCAAAUAUUUGAAAAAAUAAAAACACGAACGUUCUUAAAAUACCACCGCGGUUUUAUAAUAUAUUAAACUACAUAGUUCCGCGAUAUUAUUUAGUUUAUAUCCAAAUAAUAUAAAUAAUAAAACCAAAACGUUUGGCGAAAUUAUCCACAUUUAAAUAUAAAAAAAAACAGAAAUAAUUAUUAAUAGAAAGAUUAUAUAUUUAUUCACGGAAAUCCGUUAUGAAACAUUAUUGACAGUUUUACAAAUUAACUAAUUAAUUUAAAUAUGUAAGUGCAAAAGUUACUUCAACACUUGGCCGGUAUAACCCGAAAUAACUUCCGCAACCGCGCCUGACGCGAAAAAAUCCCAAUUACUGUAAUGUUUAAAAACGGCACGGGUAGGGAAAAUUAAAAAAGCCUAGACUUCCGCCGUCUUUCGGAAAUAAUUAAACAGAAAUUAUUUUUGGAAGUUUGGUUUAAUAUUAUUUAAAUUAAAUUUGCGCUGGACCGUACCGGUUGGAACUAAACUAAGAAACAAGUUAUAUUAAAAGUCAAUUGAAAAAUACUGGGACCGAUCUUUGAUUUUUUUACCGUCGCGAAAAUAAUUAUAAACCAAUUAUAAUUUUCGAAUGUUUGAAAAUAUGAUUGGUGGUGCAAAAGAUAUAAUAAUAAUGUUUAGUUUCCAAUUAAUAUAAAAUACGGCGUUAUAAAAUAAAAAAUAAAAAAGAUUCUCUAUAAUUUAAAAAUAAUUUUAUGGAAUCGGUAAAAAAAACCGGAUCCCCAAAACGGAUAGGAAAGGGAUAUUUAUAAACAUUUUUACUCCGGGUUUAAAAUAAUAGUUGUAAAAGAACUUUAAUUAUAUUAAUAUUAUUUUAGAAAUCUCUUAUUAACUAGUCGGAAAAUAGUAUUAUAAAUUGAAAAAAUUAACAACGAGCGGAGAAAAAAUAAAAAGCUUUCCAAUAAAAAUAUCCGCAAAAUAACUCGGAUUGUGAGUCAGAUAGUCCGGUACCGCGUAUCAAAAAACGAAAAAACGGACCACAUUCCGCACAAUUAAUUCCGGACCAUAUAUGAAGAAAUCGAAUAAUUUAUUGAAUUAAAUAUAUAUUUUUUAUGCGAAGAAUAACAUCAAACCCGCGAUUGCUCGGAAAUUAAUUAUAUAUUAAUUUAAAACGCGGCGAUUUGCACCGUUAAAACUACUAUAAUAGUUAAUUGCUUAUAUGGACUCUAGAUAAGAACACGCCAAUUGACAGACAACGAUUUCAAUAAUUAGAAAAGUAAUUAUUCUUAUAUAAUAUUGGUUGGAACGCGAAAAGAGAAUUUGAUUUUUUAAAUUAGUAUUCGAGAAAAAAAGUUUAUUAUAUUUAUUCAAAUAGUUUAGAAUCAGGUAUUUUUACCGCCGGAAUACUACCCUAUACGGAAAUAAGAAAAACUACGUAUUAAUAAACUUUUAAUUAAUUUAAAAAUAUUUAAAACAGUUUUUUUAUUUAAACUUAUUAGUUUUUAGCCACGCCAGGUCGGCGGAUAUAAUGGGAAAAAAUAUAAACAAUUAACAUAACGUUUAUUGUAAUUUUAUCUAUAUAAAACCGAAGAUGUUUAAAUAUUCUUUUUUUCGUUUUAGAUAUAAAAGAACGUUAUUUUGGGAAACUAUUUUGUUAAUUAAAAAAACGUAUUAUAAAACCACCGAUAACAACGGCUAGUUUUCCGAUUUAAAUUCAAUUAUCUAGCCAAAUUUGUCCGGCUAAUAAAAAUAUUAACUAAUUUAAUAUUCUUUUAAAACUGUUUCACGUAUGCCAAUAAAGGUCACAAGCGUUAAUUGUCGAAAUAAAUUAAUAAUUUGGAAAAACGAAAAAAGGUCGGCAAAUUAAAUAUUAUCCGAAAUUAAAUACAAAUAUUUGAUAAAGUCCGGAAUUACCAACAGGAAUUUACACCGGAAUAUAUCUUUUAAAACUCUUACCAACUUUAUAUUUAAGCGAAUAUUAAUUCGGACAAAAGUAAUAAUAUAUCUGAGGUAUAAUUAUGCCAAAAGUAAAAGUGUGGUGGAAACAGGCCAUUUUAUUGUCACGUUCGUGUAACAAGGCCUUAUAAUUGGGACCGACGAGGUACUUGCUAAGUGCAGGUACUGCAGGAUUUUUUGAUCAUUCGUCGUAAUUGUUAUAUCGUCGGGCAGAUACGUGACAUUUAUAAUUAAUAAAACGUUUUGAAAAAAGCAACUAUUAUUUAAAUAAUAUGAGGUAGCCGCGGCAAAUAAAAAUUAAAACAAAUUAUUACAAUUAGUAAAGGUGAUAUGAAAUAAUCCAAGAUACUUGAACGUUAAUACGCUCCACGAAUUGGAUAAAACUACAUAUAAAUAAUAAAUAAAAAAAUUAAAAUAAUAAAAU
rnacentral:sRNA from 1 species